UCGCCCCGCCCUCCGCUGCCGCUCAGCUUGACGUGAAUCGCCAUUGGUAUCGAGUGAAUACGGCGGCGGCGUGCGUGAGGACAAGCUAGGGGAGUUCCGGCGCAGGCCCAGAACCUGAUAGACUCUUUGGUUGAAGCUAAGUCUAACAUUGUCGUUAAGGUCAAAUAUAUCCCACUUGAGCUACAACACCAAUCGUAGUUAAGAUGACUGUGACCAUAUAAUGGAGGGAGCUUGUCAAAUUUCAACUAAAUAUUAAGCCUGAUAUCAAAGACUUGGAAAUGCUUCUCGAAUCUUCGUCCAGGCCGGUGGCACACUGAACAAGUUAUGCCAUUACUUUUGCAUGCAGUAAUCUUGUUCGUGCCUUUGGAAGCAACGAGAUUUGUCUAAAAGUAUAUUUGUACAGGAGUUGGCGAUGGAAAUAGUUGGGGUGUCAUUAUUCUUGCUUGAUCUGGGCGUAUCACUGUUGACCUGCUGGAAGAGGUGUGCUGGGAGUACAACAUACAAGCUGACGUCGGUAUCGCGACAUCAUCAGGGAGAUCGGCAAUGAGAACAUGCGAUGUUCAAAUUGACUAUGGGAUGUUCGUGGCAAUGGUGAAGAAGGGGAUCAUCAGGAAUGGAAGUCUGACCAUCAUUCUCCAUGGAGCAGACGACCUCGACUAUCCUUUGAUUGAAAUAUUCAUAUACAACACACUAUAUUUGUUCGCAUUGUGCUAUAGAUCAUAUCAAUAUUUUUAAGCCAAGUCGUGUAAAAAAAAACUGAGGAUAACAAGUAUAGGAGAAGCUUUAAUAUUAGAGCAACAGGGGAGGAGCAAAUGAUUGAAUGGGCUAUCAGCCGUGUAAAAUAAAACUGAGGGUAACGUCACCAGGUGGAAAACUAUAUUUGAUUGACAUCAUAACACUAGCAAGGUGAAUAACAAUGUAACAUCAUCUUUUCAUUAGUUGAUCCAUUCAACUUCUGGUUGAUAUGAUUGACAUGAUAUUUGGA